GGCCCCCAUUCCCCUCUCUUUGUUUCCCAAUCUCUCUCUCUCUCUCUCGCUAGGGUUUUGAAAACCCCCUUUCGCCCAAACCCACCAUUGAUCUGUGAGAGAGACUUGGAGAGCACUCGAAAGAAGGAGAAGAAGAAGAAGAAGAAGAAGAAAAAGGAGAAGGAGAGGAAAUCCAGACAUCGGUGCAUGCUAGAGUGGAAGCUCUUAUAGUGGGGAAGCUAUCACUAAACUUGAUGGAUUUUAAUAGCAAGGCCAUUUCUAUUUUUGGAAAUCAGAUCAGCCUUGCAAUCCAGAGCAUUCUGCCAUUCACACAAUCUAUACUUCUCACGGUGGAAUAUCUUAACACUGCAACACUUGGGCCUAAAAAAGAUUACAAAUCAAAUGUAUAAAAAGAAAUGAAAGAGCUAAAUCGAUAGUGAGAUCGUGCUCAAUCUCAUCUCAAGGGCUUAUCUCUUUUCUCAACAUUUUUC